rnacentral:rRNA from 1 species
GUCGAACGAAGCUUGAUUUAUGAUUUCUUCGGAAUGAAUAAUGAUAUGACUGAGUGGCGGACGGGUGAGUAACGCGUGAGCAACCUGCCCUUCGGAGGGGGAUAGCGUCUGGAAACGGACGGUAAUACCGCAUAAAGUGUCUUGACCGCAUGAUCGAGAUACCAAAACUGAGGUGCCGAAGGAUGGGCUCGCGUUGGAUUAGAUAGUUGGUGGGGUAACGGCCUACCAAGUCGACGAUCCAUAGCCGGACUGAGAGGUUGAACGGCCACAUUGGGACUGAGACACGGCCCAGACUCCUACGGGAGGCAGCAGUGGGGAAUAUUGCACAAUGGGGGAAACCCUGAUGCAGCAACGCCGCGUGAAGGAAGACGGUUUUCGGAUUGUAAACUUCUGUUCUUAGUGAAGAAUAAUGACGGUAGCUAAGGAGCAAGCCACGGCUAACUACGUGCCAGCAGCCGCGGUAAUACGUAGGUGGCAAGCGUUGUCCGGAAUUACUGGGUGUAAAGGGAGCGCAGGCGGGAAGCCAAGUCAGCUGUGAAAACUACAGGCUUAACUUGUAGACUGCAGUUGAAACUGGUUUUCUUGAGUGAAGUAGAGGUUGGCGGAAUUCCGAGUGUAGCGGUGAAAUGCGUAGAUAUUCGGAGGAACACCGGUGGCGAAGGCGGCCAACUGGGCUUUAACUGACGCUGAGGCUCGAAAGUGUGGGGAGCAAACAGGAUUAGAUACCCUGGUAGUCCACACUGUAAACGAUGAUCGCUAGGUGUGGGGGGUCUGACCCCUUCCGUGCCGCAGCUAACGCAAUAAGCAAUCCACCUGGGGAGUACGACCGCAAGGUUGCAACUCAAAUGAAU